UAUAUAUAUAAACACAUGUGUUCUGUUACAUGUAUGUUUUCUCCUGUGUAAUUCAGUCUUCAGUGUAAUUCAGUCUAUUGAUGGUCCUGUGAUGCCAUCUACUGGCGAACUUUGGUAUUUUUCUGGAACACGUUCUGAUAUGCAUUCCUUGCACUCCAUUACACUACAUUCACUUGAUCGGAAAGCAUGGUACUCACACUCGUCUUCAUAAUUGCGUCUCCUCUGGUUUCAAGUUGGCCUUUGUAAGCAUCGUUGUUUUACCCUACUUCACCUCACCAUAAAGAGUGAACUGCAACUUCUCGUCUGCGUGGUUUGAUGGAGAGGAGUUUAUACCAUCUGUCAACCCUGGCAAGCUGCUGAAGGCCUCAGUGCAGUGGAGCUGGUGAACGGAUAGCUCGACUGAAACAGAGAGGAGAGGAAUGACGAAACGGGCCUGAGGGACUUUAGCUCUGGCUGUUCCAACGAGUCGUCGGAUGUCUUUGAUAACGGUAACGGCUGUUUGUUCCCCAAGACCGUUGUUCAUCUCAUCUCAGAGCCAGAGUCUGGCUGGAGUAUACGUUUUAUAAGGCGUUUGGGGAUGUAGAUGCUUUUAAACAGCGCCGGUGUUACAAUAAUAUUAUUUGCUUUGUUGAAAAUGAUGAGUUGCACUUUGCACAGGAUUUUGUUGGAUAAACCAACAUUUUUUAAAGACUGAACAAAUAGCACAUUUCCUGAUGUAUUGUACUCUCGGUUGAUUGUAAAAAAAUGUGUUUUUGAAAAAUCUAAAUCAAAUCUCUCUCUUUCUCUGUGUUUACGAAUUGCAAACUGUAAUUCGUCGGGCUGUGGCUGUGGUCACAUGAUGGAGGAGGAGACCGGAGGGGAGGAGGUCCUGGCCGACCCCCCCCCCCCCCCCCUCCUGGGGGCGCCCCUCUCCGUCCAGGAGUGCUUCGCCCUGCAGGGUACGGGGCUUUGAGUGUCUCUGCGUCCGCCCCCUACAUGAGAGGGGUCAAUGCUAUUGCUUAUUAGCCACCGGCUAAAGGGCUGAUUAUGGUUCCACAUCGACGCAACGAUGAACCCGCAGACGCUUCCAGGCAGUCGUGAACCUGCUUCGGUUCUGCGGCGGCUUUUAGCGAGCGGACCAAUCACAGCCCUCGCUGCUGCGUCGCCUCGACGGAGGGUUAACGUAUCGGGGAGGCGCGCGUCAGGCCCUUGCUGUGGACGCAAGGAGGGUCCGCGAGGACGUGAGGGGUCCGUAGACCCUCUUGGGCUGCGUCGACGUGGGACCACGAUCAGCCCCUAACAGAUCCUUGGU